AGCGGCGGACGGGUGAGUAACACGUGGGCAACCUACCUGUAAGAUCGGAAUAACUCCGGGAAACCGGGGCUAAUGCCGGAUAACACUUUCUUUUGCAUGAAGGAAAGUUAAAAGAUGGCUUCUUGCUAUCACUUACAGAUGGGCCCGCGGCGCAUUAGCUCGUUGGUGAGGUAACGGCUCACCAAGGCAACGAUGCGUAGCCGACCUGAGAGGGUGAUCGGCCACACUGGGACUGAGACACGGCCCAGACUCCUACGGGAGGCAGCAGUAGGGAAUCUUCCGCAAUGGACGAAAGUCUGACGGAGCAACGCCGCGUGAACGAUGAAGGCCUUCGGGUCGUAAAGUUCUGUUGUUAGGGAAGAACAAGUACCAGAGUAACUGCUGGUACCUUGACGGUACCUAACCAGAAAGCCACGGCUAAC
rnacentral:rRNA from 1 species